ACGAACUUUCAUUUCACCUUUAUUAUUUAUGGGGGCAGUAAACAAAUAAUUAAAUGAUCAACUAAUAAGCAUUACAUUAAGUAGAGUAUGUUCCAAGAUCUUGACUGUAAUAAAAAAAAUAUCCACAUUAUUCUCAAGUUUUCAGUUUUCUAAUGUUUGGCCCACAUCCACAUGACAUUAAAAUUUUGUAAGGGACCAAUGUUAUUGAUGUGAUACAGAUCUUACAAGAUCUUCCCACACUCGUUCAACAAUAAUUCAUUAAAAAAAAAAAGAACAUUUUAAUGGUCGCAUAUGUGGCUUCACCUUUUUGCCUUUGGUCUUCGUCAUUGAUUAUUUAUAUUGCAUAGUUUUGAUUUUGGUCAAACUGAACAUUUGUUCACAUAUAUUGUAAUUUUAUUUUAUUGCUUGGUUAAAGAAACAAAUAACGAAUAACUUUUUUUUUUUCUUUUCUUGCUUACUGCUUCCAAAAGAGAGAGAAAGAAGAUACAAUGAAUGCUUUAAUUUAGCGUCUGCUACACUGUUUAGCAUGAUUUAUUGACUUAUCUAAUAGAUAUAAAUACUUAUUUAAUUGCA
rnacentral:lncRNA from 1 species